rnacentral:piRNA from 1 species
GGGUCUAAAUACUGUCUCUUGUCCUUGC